UCAAGGGGCUGGUUGAGCGGUUGGUGGCAGUUUGGUGGAAGAAAUUCAACCACCUGAUAAGAAGUUGGACUUGAUGAAUCCGAAGAUCACUUUCAACCUCUGGGUGCAAUGACUUAUUAUCUGCCCAGUUUACCUGUGCCUGGUUCAUGAAAAACUAGAGCCUGUUACUUAAAGUGUGGUCUGUGGAUCAGCAGUAUUAGCACCUCUUGGGAGGAUGUUAGAAACCAAAUUCUUGGGCUCCACCCUUGAUCUACGGAAUCAGAAUCUGGGGGUGGAGCUCAGGAAUCUGUUUGUAACAAGCUCACUAAGAUUCUGAUGACCAGUAAUCAUUGAGAAGCGUUGCUUUAGCUCAAUAAUCCUUGAGCGUUACUAAGCAUCAGAAGCCAAAUUAUCUUACCGGUGCUUUUUGAAAUGCAGAUUACCCAGAUUUCCCCCAGAGAUUCUUCCUUCUUAGAUACGGGGUGUCUCGCUGGAAUCUGCAUUUUAACAAGUGCCUCAAGGGAAUCAGAUCCACGUAACUGAGAACCAUUCAAGCACUUGAAUGCUUGAAACACUGCAUUCAAGUCUGUUUUUAAUCCAGAUCCUCGCCAGAGCUUCAGGAGUCAGGGAGGAUGUGGUCACUGUGGCUUCUGCUUGGUCCCACUCGCUCAUUUGCUUGUCACUCCUGGCUACCAUAAUCGUCACCACCCCCCAGGAUGGGGAAGGAGAGUAUUCAAAGUCCUUACAAUGGCUCACAAGACUCUACCUGACCUGGCCCUGCCCACUGCAGUGUUCUCACCUUACAUUCUUGCCAAACAUGCCUCGCCACAGGGGCCCCUGCUGUUCCAGCCAAUACAUUAAGCGUGUUCCCACCUCUCUGGGCCUUGGUGUUCUAUCUGCCUGGAAUGUCUUCCUUCUGCUUCUCCUGGCGCACAGGCUCAAGUAAACGAACACCAUUUCAGAGGAAGAGUGCAGAGGAACCCUGGAGGUCAGCUCUCCCUGGAAAUGUGUGAUGGCUAGCAUCAUUUGAAUUUGCCUACUUACAAUACGGAAGUUACCCAACCCAGGGCAGAGCUGAUGAGCUUAAGGUUUGGAGGCUAUUUUCAUCAAGGACAUUCUAUGCCUUGAGUAAGAAUUUUGCAUGGUUCACCAUGAAGAAUGAGAAGAGCUUAUACUUUGUGACUUAUCCUCUCUUUUUUUGUAAAACCCAAGUGGAAUGAGAAGAAUUUUUUCUCUCUGUCUGGGAUCACCUGAAUUUGUGGUUUUUCCCUGGCUUAGGGGAGAGAGAAUGCUUUUAAAAUGGCAUUUCCCUAUUUACGGAUGGAAUAACGAUGUAUGAAAUUGCUUUGAAAAAGUCCAGUAGGAGUGUGUGGGCAUAUAGAUGAAAGAAGAUUGGCUGUGAGUGAUAAUUACUGAAGCUGCUUGAUGGGUACAUUGCGACUCAUCAUACUUAUUCUCUCUCUAUAAAUUUAAAAAUAGCAAUUCUCUGAGGGAUUUCUAUGGGACACUCUGAAAAAAAGAAGAGGUGGAUUCUGCAGUCAAAAUUUAGGAAAUACAAUUUACUAGAUCCUUUCCUUGAAAGCCACAGUACAUAUUAGAAUACUAAAGACUCUGAGGAGUCCUGAGUUUAAGAGACUUUUAAACACAGUUUAACGCACGUUCUGUUCCUAAGGCUAAUUUGAUUACUGAAACCCAUUUUUAACUGGGUAGUGCCUGUAAACAACUUGGCAAACUAGCCUUCCAUGGGAUGUACUUUGGUGAACCUGUUUUAAAAGAUCAUGGGGUGACUUUGUUCAUGAAAGAGAACAAGAAUGAAGGCUAGGUUCCCUACUCUUUCUGCCCAGAACAGCUUUUCAGGAUUGGGGAAGAUUUAUUUUUCUUGGAACACAAAGGAAACGCAAGGAAACCAGCUACUGAAUAUGAGUCAAGCCAACGCCCCAAACCUCCAUGGGGAGAUCUCAGCUCACUGCGCUGGGUUAGACACACACAGCAGGAACAGAAUAUGUCUCAUGAUUAGGGACAUGGCUCCUGGGAUCGGACAGCCUGGGAUGGCUUCACAUCCCAAGUGUGUGACCAUGGGCAAGUUGCCUAACCUUUUUGUGCCUCAAUUUCUUCAUCUAUAGAAUAGAAUGGUUGCUAGAUUUAGCAAACAAAAAUACAGAAUACCCAAAUGUUGAUGGAACAUAUUAUACUGAAAAAAUAUUUGCUGUUUAUCUGAAAUUCAAAUUUAACUGGGCAUCCUGUGUGUUUUUGGCAACUCUACUUUAUAGGGUUGUUGGGAGGAUUAUGUGACAUUAUCUAUAGUGAACUCUCAGAACAGUGCCUGGCACCUCGUAAGCACUCAAUUAACUAUAGGCUAUUGUCAUGAAUAUUACCACUUUAAUCAGAGGCCCCUUUCUUUAAUUCUGGUUCUCUUAAUAAUUUUCUAAGGAUUUCCAUGGUUAUAUAUUUGAACCAUUUAUAGUCAAAUAUUUUCUAUAAUCAAUAAUAAGAAGAAAGUGAUAUCUUCUGCCUUAAGUCCUUGCAUAGAAAUUGUUUUGUGAGGGCCAAAAAAGAUAUAUUAAGUUGCCUUUCAUCCACCAUUAAUAGAAGGAAGCCGUGGUAGGAAAACUUAUUAACAUUAGCCUUGUGUGACGAUUGUUAAUUUUUUUUUAGCUCCAAGAGAGCCACUUUUGUAAGGUUUUUCUUAGGGAAGAAUUAACUUGUAGUCCCUGGAUACAUGUUAACCAAGAGGGGAGUGAGAGAAAGGAAACCCACAACAGUUUGGUAAGCAAGGGGAGUUAGCCUGGGGUAUAGUGAAAUACAGAGGAGAGAACCGAUCCAUUCAGUUAACUGAGAGUUCACUGUAAUAUCUCAGAGAAGAUUACCACUCAGUCGGCUUGUCACAGGUUUACCGUGUUGGCAGUGAAAUUUCUCCUACACUUGCUUAAUUCACAUGUUGGCAAGGAACCCAUGAAUAUAACCAAAACUCUAACUCACAUGGAUUUCUCUAUAGAAGGUACACAAUAUUGUAAAAUUGUAAAAUUUUUUCAGCACAGAAGCCUGGCAGCUGAUAAAUCAUUUGUAAAUAAAUUAAUGAUAUAUUUCGCUCUCCCUGUUGACUCAUGACCUAGUAAAGAUCUACUGGACUAAGAAUCAUAAUUUGCAUAAACAUAUGGUUAUGAAAUUUUCCUGUAGAAGGGAAAGAAAGGAGUUCUGAAUGCACCAAGCUGAGAACAUAAGAACUUCAUGUUUAAUUAAAUAAAAGGUGAACUCCCUUCAAAUUAUAAAAAUAAAUUGAGUCUGCUUACAGAAAGGAAAUUUACUUAUUUACCAGCAUACUUUCACUCUAUCAAAUAAAAAAUGUGGGGAAGAGAAAGAGAUGGAGACAGCCCGUGAAAGACAGAGAGGGUCAGAGGCAGAGAGAGACAGUGAGUGAAACAGAAAGAAGAGAAACAGAGAGACACAAUCAAAGACAGAAACCAGGAGACGUAGAUGGAUUAAUUCCAGAGCUUGAAUGUAAAGUGGUAAAUCCCCUUUACUUUGCAAACUCUCUUUUAAUUUUUAAAACAAUGCCAACAGUAUAUUUUCUUUCCCUGGCAUUACGCGCUAGCUACCCCCCCCCCCUUUUUUUCAUAACUUGUCACACAUAACAUGGGGUGGGGUGACAACACGAUUUUAAUGGUCAGCUAAAUCUAUGUCUCAGGAAGUCAUCCUAAAACUCUUGAGUUUAGUUUCACUUUUAUGCUUUAAAGACUGUUUACAAAUACAUUUUCCAAUUUCCUGAUAAACAAGAGGGGAAGGAGCUAUCUAGUUCAGCAAAUGACUGUCUUUUGGUUUGCAAAGAAAUAAUCAUUAAACUGAGGGAACCAGUUUAGUUCCCGGUGCUACCCAGCGCCAGCGAGGCUUCUCCUGGCCUCUGCGGCUGUCAAAAGAAAUCUGCAUUCAAGGCAGUUGCAAAGUAAGUGAAUAACCAAAUAACAUGGGCAAAGGCACACAGCCAACCAAACACCUUUUUGUCAGGACACGUUAAGGCUUCCUCAUGAAGAACUUGAGAAACUUGAUUAUUCACUUUCGGAGUCUGGUCUCCCGGAGACGAUAAAAUGCAAGGGUAAAAGGAAACCUGAUGUUGGUUCUUCAGACCCUGCUAGUAACACAGUUUUAAGGGGAAAGCAAGGAGAAAA